UCCUCUUGUAAACUGUGAAGCUGGGGCUCCGCCAGCCCUGGAAGUGGGCCUACUUAGCAGCUCUUCUUUUUCUCGUUUACAAACCACCUCACCACCAGCCUGGGGUUUUGGCAGCUGGUUCGUGGGCGUGAUGAGAAAAUCGAGGCUCCAAGAGAAUAAGGAAGGGCCCAAGGUCUCUUAAAUGGGAAAGCCCAGUCUGAAUGUCAGAGUCCCAGGCUCAAGGUCUUCACCAAAGCACAUACGGAGGGGCCACAGACAAUCCGUUUUACCCUGAGCGAGUCAUCUCACUUAUGAAAUGAACUAAGAAAACUGGAAAUGAACUAAGAUUUCUCUUACAAGUUGUUGUGAGCACCUGCUGAGUUGAGGUCUGGACUCUACUUACCUCUGAAAGGAAGACAAGAAGAAAACAUUCAGUAAUGAAACCAAGAAAGAAAGCUGUGCACACGUACAGUUAAUAGGUCGUUCAUUUGCGGCUGCACAGAACUAUCGCAAUAUGACUUAAAUGAGGGGUCAUUCAGAAAACCAACAGCAGAUUCGGGCGCACUGAAGGCAAGAGUUAAAAGGGGACUCAAGGACCAUCCAGUGGGACCUUAUGUUGUCAUGUUAUAGGCGUGUGGCUAAGGUCCAAAGAGUUGAAGUUAUCUCCGGGAGACGGUAGGCAAGCACAGCGUCACACUCCACCCCAGCAAUCUUUCAGAAACGUUUACCUUGAGCUCUGGAGGUGCCCAGAACCUCACCUGUGCAGUGGACAGGGAACUCCCUGCACAUCCAGCUCUGCCUGCUGUUCUGCAUGGCUGUCAGGGGCUUGGAAUGUGUCGGUCCUGCUGGUGUGUUAGUCUGCCAGUAAAUAAAGGGCCGCAAUCCAAUGGGACUUGAACUCUUCAGAAGGCUGCUGAGGAAGCAAAGUCUCCCAGGACCAGGAUUUUGCUGCGUGUGGCUCCAGGAUGGUCCAGGGAAGGAGGGGAGGAGGGCACUCACGUCUCUGAGACUUACGGAGAAAAGUCUUUAAAUUUGGGAAAGUAAAAUAUCUGGCUACAAUACUCACUCCUGGCUCCUAGCAGAUGUGUGUCCCUUAACUGGACCAAACACAAAAACAUUUGACUAUACAUUGAAGCCCUCUUUGCUCAGAGUGCUGGAAAGCAAGAUAUCUUUUCUUUUAUAGCUAUCGUUUUAAUGGAAUUUAAAGAACAAAAUAAACAAAUAAAACAGAAAAGACUCACAGCCCUAGCCAGUUUGGCUCAGUGGAUAGAGCAUCGGACUGUGGACCAAAGGUCCCGUGUUCGAUUCAGGUCAAAAGCAUACACCUCGGUUGCAGGCUUCUCUGUGGCCCAGGCCCUGGUCAGGACGCUUGCAGGAGGCAACCAAUCAAUGUGGUUCUCUCACAUCGAUAUUUCUGUCUAUCCCUGUCUCUUCCAUUCUCUCUAAAAACCAAUGGGAAAAUAUUCUCUGGUGAGGAUUAAGAAAAAAUAAAUAAAAAAGACUCACAGGUAUAGAGAACAAACAGGGUUGCCAGAUUGGAGGAGGGUUGGGGGUCUGGAUGAAAAAAGUGAAGGGAUUAAGACAUACAAAUUGAUAGUUACAAUAUAGUCAUGGGGAUGUAAAGUACAGCAUAGGGAAUAUCGUCAAUAAUGUAAUAGCUUGAUAUGGUGUCAGGUGGAUAUUAGAAAAAUUAGGGGGAAUAUUUCAUAAAUUAUAUAAAUGUUUAGCCACAAUGCUAUACACCUGAAACUAAAGUAAAAUAAUGUUAAAAGUCAACUGCAAUUGAAAAAUAAAUAAAUAAAAAUAAUAUGGAAGAGAAAGAAGAAAGAAACACGCUCUCAGA